rnacentral:rRNA from 1 species
UACGUAGGGGGCAAGCGUUGUCCGGAAUCAUUGGGCGUAAAGAGCGUGUAGGCGGCCCGAUAAGUCCGCUGUGAAAGUCCAGGGCUCAACCCUGGAAUGCCAGUGGAAACUGUCGGGCUGGAGUCCGGAAGAGGCGAGUGGAAUUCCUGGUGUAGCGGUGAAAUGCGCAGAUAUCAGGAGGAACACCAAUGGCGAAGGCAGCUCGCUGGGACGGUACUGACGCUGAGGCGCGAAAGCUAGGGGAGCAAACGGG